rnacentral:rRNA from 1 species
GACGAACGCUGGCGGCGUGCCUAAUACAUGCAAGUUGAGCGCUGAAGGUUGGUACUUGUACCAACUGGAUGAGCAGCGAACGGGUGAGUAACGCGUGGGGAAUCUGCCUUUGAGCGGGGGACAACAUUUGGAAACGAAUGCUAAUACCGCAUAAAAACUUUAAACACAAGUUUUAAGUUUGAAAGAUGCAAUUGCAUCACUCAAAGAUGAUCCCGCGUUGUAUUAGCUAGUUGGUGAGGUAAAGGCUCACCAAGGCGAUGAUACAUAGCCGACCUGAGAGGGUGAUCGGCCCCAUUGGGACUGAGACACGGCCCAAACCCCUACGGGAGGCAGCAGUAGGGAAUCUUCGGCAAUGGACGAAAGUCUGACCGAGCAACGCCGCGUGAGGGAAGAAGGGUUUCGGAUCGUAAAACUCUGUUGGUAGAGAAGAAAGUUGGGGAGAGUGGAAAGCUCAUCAAGUGACGGUAACUACCCAGAAAGGGACGGCUAACUACGUG